UACGUAGGGUGCAAGCGUUAAUCGGAAUUACUGGGCGUAAAGCGUGCGCAGGCGGUUAUGCAAGACAGAUGUGAAAUCCCCGGGCUCAACCUGGGAACUGCAUUUGUGACUGCAUAGCUGGAGUGCGGCAGAGGGGGAUGGAAUUCCGCGUGUAGCAGUGAAAUGCGUAGAUAUCGGAAGGAACAUCAGUGGCGAAAGCGACUUCCUGGACCAGUACCGACGUUCAGGCACGAAAGCGUGGGGAGCAAACAGG
rnacentral:rRNA from 1 species